rnacentral:rRNA from 1 species
AUUGAACGCUGGCGGCAGGCUUAACACAUGCAAGUCGAGCGAGCGGCGGACGGGUGAGUAAUGUCUGGGAAACUGCCUGAUGGAGGGGGAUAAUAAUGGGAAACGGUAGCUAAUACCGCAUACACUCAGCUGGUCCCAGAGGGGUUUAGCUAGUAGGGGGGGUAAUGGCUCCCCUAGGCGACGAUCCCUAGCUGGUCUGAGAGGAUGACCAGCCACACUGGAACUGAGACACGGGCCAGACGCCUACGGGAGGCAGCAGUGGGGAAUAUUGCACAAUGGGCGCAAGCCUGAUGCAGCCAUGCCGCGUGUGUGAAGAAGGCCUUCGGGUUGUAAAGCACUUUCAGCGAGGAGGCGUUACUCGCAGAAGAAGCACCGGCUAACUCCGUGCCAGCAGCCGCGGUAAUUC